GCUUAGCCUUAAACCUAGAUGUUGAAUUUACAAGCAACAUCCGCCAGGGUACUACAAGCGCUAGCUUAAAACCCAAAGGACUUGACGGUGUCUCAGACCCACCUAGAGGAGCCUGUUCUAGAACCGAUAAUCCCCGUUAAACCUCACCACCCCUUGUUUCCUCCGCCUAUAUACCGCCGUCGCAAGCUUACCCUGUGAAGGUCUAAUAGUAAGCAAAAUGGGUAAAUCCCAAAACGUCAGGUCGAGGUGUAGCUUACGAGGUGGGAAGAAAUGGGCUACAUUUUCUAUACCAGAAUAAUACGAACAGCACCAUGAAAUUAGUGCUCGAAGGUGGAUUUAGUAGUAAAAAACAAAUAGAGAGUCUUUUUGAACCAGGCUCUGAGACGCGC
rnacentral:rRNA from 1 species